rnacentral:rRNA from 1 species
AUGGUGAAAAAAAAGGUUCAUUGGAUUGCAUGGAAGAAAAUGUGUGUUAGCAAGCAAGAUGGAGGUAUGGGCUUUCAUGACAUGGAGGCAUUUAAUCAAGCUUUGCUUGCAAAGCAGGCGUGGAGGAUCCUACAAGUCCCCUCCUCUCUCUGCUCAAGGGUACUCAAGGCUAGAUAUUUUGCCGAUGGUUCUAUACUUAGUGCAACCUGUCCGAAUGGUGCCUCAUUCACUUUCAGAAGUAUCUUGUAUGGACGAGAUUUGCUACUUGAUGGUUUAGUUUGGAGAGUAGGUGAUGGCUCAUCUAUCCGAAUUCAUCAUGAUAACUGGAUACCGCGCAAAGGAUACCUUCGGCCACUGGGCCAGGUAUAUGUGCAAGGUAUGACACGUGUUAGCGAUUUAUUGAAUGAGGAGGGUGAUGCAUGGGAUAAAGCUAAAUUGGUGACCAUGUUUUCCCCAGAUGAUAUCCAGGAUAUUCUUCAAAUUUGUGUGGGUGGACAGGGCUCUGUAGAUUUCCCUGCUUCGAACUUUACAAAAAAUGGUGAAUUUACUGUAAAGCAUGCAUAUCAUCUAUGUAUGGAGAAGAAAAGGGCAAGAGUUGGACAGCCAGGCUCUUCGUCAUCCACCACGACCCACCAAGGUUGGCUCUCUCUGUGGGGAUCCAAAGCUCCUGGGAAAGCGCUGAUCCAUGUUUGGAGAUUGAUCAAGAAUGGCCUGGCGGUGGGCUCGGAACUUCUACGGUGA